rfam:Edwardsiella ictaluri 93-146, complete genome.
CGCGUGGUGUCUGGCGGAAAAGGGCCGGAUAGCGACGCGGCCUUAACAGAGGU